CUAACUUUGGUGCUACCCGCCAUAAAACCGAAGAAGAAGAAGAUAUUUUGACGCGGAAUGCAGCGCUGGUAAACUUUACUCUAGCGUCUGAUAAUUAUUUUGUGUUGCUCUGCACGCCAUCAUAACAUUUCGCCAGCACUGCAGUCACGCAGUCUGUUUUUGUUUCCUAACCGCGCUUGCUGCAUAUGCUCAGGUAAUAAAUUUCCCAUGAGUCGGGAUACACACUGCAUUCAGUUUAUCUGACUCUCCAGUCAGAAUGUGUCUGUGUGACCAGUGUAUCAGAAAUACAGAUUCCUCACCAUGGCAACAAGCCCACCCAGACGGCACCUGGCUGUCUAGUCUGAGACACACACGCACACGGUUAUGGGAUUUCCAAACAAAACAUGCAAUACACCAGGUUUCCUCAAAUCUUGUCUUGGAGGGCCAGUGCCUGAUCAAACUCACCUACCUGUGAUUUUCUAAUGAUUGUGAAGACAUUGAUUAGCAUGCUCAGGUGUGUUUUAUUAGGGUUAGAGCUAAACUCUGCAGAAAAGUGGAUCUUAUGGGCCAGAUUUGAAGAUCUAUAUGUACUUAUUAUAUGGUAAAGGUUUGAUUUAGGGUUACUUUCAUUUAUUUAUGCAUAAUUAAUUGCUAUCAUAUAAUAGUAGGUACAUGCAAUGUGUAACAAGGACAUCUUUAAAUAAAAAUAUAUAUAUUUAUAUUUAUGUUAUACUAGUUUGUUGAGCAUGAGAUUAUUAAAUAAUGGCAAUGUAAAUAAAAAAAAUCUCACUUCACCAUUAACCACAAUGUUUGUGCUGUUUUAUGUGAGCAUGUCUCCUUUGGGAUUUUACAGCUGCAAAACUGACUGUGCAUCCAGACUGUUGAUCCCCGUGAACCAGAUGCCCAGUUCAUCCUUGGCUGCGAAAGCAGGACAUGGACAGUCAUGAAGAAAUCCAAUCAGCCUACAAACCAUGCAGUGAAUACCAAGAGAGAGAAUAUGAGAGGCUGUGUUUGGAAUGGCAUACUUACUGAAUACUAGUAGUACGCAGAGAUUUAAAUAGUAUGUGUUUGCAUUUUAAAUACAGUUUUCAGAUUUAAAAAAUGGGAUAGUUCUUAUGGAAAUGUCUUAAUGGGAUAGUUCACCCAAAAAUGACAUUUCUGUCUUAAGAGUGGUUCCAAACCUGUAUGAGAUUGUUCCUUUUACAGAACAAAAAGAGGAUGAAGAACACUGGAGUCAAAAACAUUUAUUAAUUUAUUUAUCAAUAUAUAUCUUUGGUGUUCAACAGAAGAAAAAAAAAAGAAUGGGAAUUUUUGGUUAAUUAUUUUUCACUCAUUUUUACAUGGCUUGAUUGACUUUAUAUUAAAUAUAUAUUUAAUAUAUUGAAUAUACUGUAUUUUAUAAAGUCAAUAAAGGGAUGUUAAGAAAUAGCUAAUAGUGAGGUUUGUUUCUUUUUUAAUUAUUUGUUAAAAUUGUUUCAAAAUGAAUCCUGCACUAGUUUUAUCAACAUAUUUGUAGACUGAUGUGAAUUUCCUCUCAGGUAUUCACAUUUCACAAGGCAAGUAAGUCUGUUUCCAGGUACAGUAUUCAG